GUUUGCCACGCUCCAUGCGAUUUGGCCCAUUUUACUAUAGGCUUUAGAGAGCGAUACAGAGAGACGCGACGAACUUUUCGAAUCUCGAUCGGUUGCCCAUGGCAGCAGUAGCGGCUAGCUGCUGCAAGCCUUCUUCAUUUUUGGGGCAAUUCCACUCUCCUUCCGGGAAAUCACAAUGUACACAAAUAUCAGGGACUUCAGUUCCGGUUCCUAGAAUUACUGCACUAUUUUGGGGAUCGAGGAAGUCCACAACACCACAAGAGGUGGGCUUGUCACUCGGGGAUUUCACUUUGACAGUGUCAACCUCCAAGGACAUUUCAGCAAAUGAGGUGAAACCCAAAAAGAUAUCACUUUCAGUUGUUUCUUCAAUCUUAGAGGUUUCACCCAAUGAUUGGGAUGCUUGCACUUUGGAUGCCACCUCUCCUGAAAAAUACAAUCCUUUUCUUACUCAUGCUUUUCUUUCAAGCUUGGAGGAGUCUGGCUGUGCAGUAAAGGAGACAGGAUGGAUGCCACGCCAUAUGAUUGCAAAGGAUGAAUGUGAAAAUAUUUUAGGUGUUGUUCCACUUUAUCUUAAAAGUCAUUCCUAUGGUGAAUUUGUUUUUGAUCAUUCUUGGGCUGAUGCAUACUACAGUUUUGGGGCAAAAUAUUAUCCAAAGUUGCAAUGUUGUGUACCUUUUACUCCAGUAACUGGUCCAAGAAUUUUAAUUCGUAACACCUCUUUCAAAGAUCAAGUUUUUGAUGUUUUGGUCUCUGCUCUGAAGGAUCUGACAGCUAAGUCCCAGCUUUCAUCACUGCAUAUCACCUUCCCAUCUGAAAUUGAGUGCCAAAAACUGAAGGGAAAAGGUUUUCUGCAGAGGAUCGGAAUGCAGUAUCACUGGAAAAAUCGCAACUAUAAGAAUUUUGAUGAGUUUCUGAUGGACAUGAAACAAAGUAAGAGGAAAAAUAUUCGACAAGAACGCAAAAAGAUUUCUGUGCAAAACUUGACCAUGAAACGGCUUAGGGGUUACGAGAUAAAGGCAAAGCACUGGGAUACUUUUUAUAAAUUUUACAGGAACACCACCGAUAACAAGUGGGGUAGUCCUUAUCUAACUAGGGAUUUUUUCCACAACAUGGGAUCAAAGAUGGGGGAUCAGGUACUACUUGUUGUUGCUGAAGAAGGGGAAGAACUUGUUGCCGGUGCUCUUAAUCUUAUUGGAGGAGAUACUUUAUUUGGGCGUCUAUGGGGAUGCCAGCCUCGAGCUUACUAUCCAAGUUUGCAUUUUGAAGCAUGCUAUUACCAGGCUAUAGAAGCAGCUAUUGAACUUGGUCUGAACACAGUUGAGGCAGGAGCUCAGGGUGAUCACAAAAUUCAGCGGGGUUAUCUGCCUGUUACAACUUAUAGCUGCCAUUACCUUAUGGAUGAAGGUUUCAGAAAGGCCAUAGAGGACUUUCUAGUCCGUGAAUCAAGUCAGGCCGUGUGCACAAUUGAACUUUUAGAGUGGUACAGGAAAUCUCUUUAGAUCCUAUAAAUCCUUUCAGCCAUCAAGCUUAGGAAUGGAGAGGUGAAUUAGAGUUUCAUUUGUACCCUAUGCACUUGGUAUAUUCAAUAAAAGAGGAUGACACUAUUGUGGAUGUAAAACUCUAUGUACAUACAGCAUAAAGGUUAUGUUUUAUAUGCCAUGUAGAAAGUCCUUUCUCCAAACUCCUAUGCCUGCCUGCUUUCUUUGGACGAAGUAGUGGAAGUCCUGGUCAGAUAAUGACUACUGCACCAUUAGAUAGUACUAGCUGCUCAUCGCAAAAUGGUUAGGCUUGUCAUGAAACUAUUAAAUGAUUCUGGUCCCUAUAAGGAAGUUAUACAACAGACAUGGGAAAACAAAGCCCCAACUUAAACGGGAAUCAACAAAUUUCUUGGUAUUUGGCAUAUACGUGUGAAUGCCCCUUUCAUCUUCGCAUAGUUAUCCAAUUAUGCAAUUUUUCGUCGAGGUUCAGUGAAUAAUUUAUGUCCCAACUUAAUUUGUAUAUUGUUGUGACCAUAUAUUUGUCUAGGUAAUUAGCUAUCUGGGAUUUGCUGGCUCUGCACUUAUGUGAACAUGUAAAUCUUAUCCUGAUGUCUUUUAAGAGCUCCUGUAAAUAUUCCGAAUAAAUUCAUCUCUAUAGAUGCCUCUAGUAUUAUGCAGAGGUUGAGCA